rnacentral:rRNA from 1 species
GACGAACGCUGGCGGCGUGCUUAACACAUGCAAGUCGAACGGAAAGGCCCUGCUUUUGUGGGGUGCUCGAGUGGCGAACGGGUGAGUAACACGUGAGUAACCUGCCCUUGACUUUGGGAUAACUUCAGGAAACUGGGGCUAAUACCGGAUAGGAGCUCCUGCUGCAUGGUGGGGGUUGGAAAGUUUCGGCGGUUGGGGAUGGACUCGCGGCUUAUCAGCUUGUUGGUGGGGUAGUGGCUUACCAAGGCUUUGACGGGUAGCCGGCCUGAGAGGGUGACCGGCCACAUGGGGAUUGAGAUACGGCCCAGACGCCUACGGGAGGCAGCAGUGGGGAAUAUUGCACAAUGGGCGGAGGCCUGAUGCAGCAACGCCGCGUGCGGGAUGACGGCCUUCGGGUAGUAAACCGCUUUCGCCUGUGACGAAGCGUGAGUGACGGUAAUGGGUAAAGAAGCACCGGCUAACUACGU